UCGGACGUGGUGUAUGGGGCACAGCCGGCUUGCUUUAUCAUGGAGACUCUAUACUAUAGACGCUGGCAGUCCGGGGUUCGACUCCCCGCGUCCGAA